GAUAUUAUUUUUGCAAACGUAGAAACAUAAGUAAACAAAUUUCUGCAAGAGACAAGAGCAUUUAAACUAAAAAAAUGCUGAAGCUGGCAAUUUUUUGUUCUGUGGGAAUUUUCAUUUUUAAAAUAACAUCAACGGAAUAUCUUGUAAAAACAUCCCCGACGACUACCAAAAUAGUGACAAUAUACGAAGUUACGUUAUCGUAGCUAUGAAGCGCCAAUUUGAAAUUAGAACAAAAGAGGUUUAUAUAACUAACUGAUUGUCUUCUUGAAUUAUUCUUAAACUUUAAUACGCUGAUCAAUAUUAAAUGAUGAUAUAUACUUCUCGUGAAUAAUCUUACUUGCGAGAAUUACUUAAAUUACUGCGGAGAAGAAUACAAGUCACCUAAUUAUAAUACAACGUAUUUCAGAAAUUUAUGUGAGGUCGGUAUCAAAGGUUACUUGUGUGACAAUGCCAAGGAUGGCGAACCUCUUGCCAAGUUAUACGAUAAAACUUCGGGUUAUAUUAAUGACGAUGCAGCAACGGAACACUAUAAAAACACUGUAUGGAGAUUAUGUAGUCAAUGAACAAAUCAGAAAUUCCGGUAUCGCAGUUAUGAAGAGAGUAUUUGAAAACAAAAUAAAAGAGUUUUUUAUUAUAAUUGAUUUAAUACCUUUUCAUACCAUUUUUUAAAUUUAAUAAGUAUAGCAAAAUUAAAUAUAUAUUUUUUUCGUUGUAGGAGAACCUUACUUGCGAGAAUUACUUGAGUUACUGCACUAAAGAUAAGCCGUCUGAUUAUGAAACGUCGAUUUUUUAAAUUUUGUGUGAGGUCAGCAUCAAAGGUUAUUUGUGCAACAAUGUAAAGGAUGGCGAAGCUUUUGCACAGUUAUACGAUAAAGUGUCAGGCUACAUAUACGAUACCACAAGAAGACACGGAGCUUUCAGUCCUACAACCACCACACCAUAAACCGAAUAGUUAAUUCAUUUCUUACAAUUUAUACUGUGAAAUUAUUAGCUUGUAAGAAUAUGAAAACGAAAUCAAUUUAGUUUGAUUCAAAUGACGUGAAUAAAGCAUGAAAACUUACCCACAUACGUCAUGUGUCUGAAUUUACAUAUCAAAAACAAAUAGCUAGUUGAUAGUUAAUUUUGUAUCUUCAAUUGUAAGAAAAUUUUCUGAAUCGCCAAGUUUUGAGCUGUUGUGAGGAACGUAGCAUUAAUUGUAUUAUAUAAACAUUUUUCCCUAUUUUUCUGCACGUGACAAAUAAACUAUUUGAAAUACAAAUACACAAGUGUUGAAAAAAUGCAGAGGUAUAUGUGGAAAAACUUCUGCAAGAGAAAACAACAUUGAAUAAAAAUGUUGAAGUUGGCAAUUUUUUGCGUCUUUGGAUAUUUCAUUUCCAUUGUAACGGCAAUAGUGAGUAAUUGUUUUAAACUUUUGAACAUCGGCUGGCAAUUAUGUAGUCAAUGAAACAACUAGAGCCUCUGGUAUAGCAGCUAUGAAGAACUUAUAUGAAGUUAGAACAAAAGAGAAUAAUCUCACUCGUGAGAAUCACUUGGAUUACUGCAUUCAAGAUAAGUCGCCUUACUACGAAACGUCGUUCUUCAGAGUUUUGCGCGAGAUCGGUAUAAAAAAUUACUUGUGCGACAAUGCAAAGAAGUUUCGGGCUACAUCUACAAUACCGCAAGAGGACACGGACCAUUCGGCCCUCCAGCGACUACUCCAGCACCACCUCCCACCAAGUCAUCCUCCGACUACGAUUAAUAAUUAAUUAAUUUCUGCAACCACAAUGUCGCGGCGUCCGUUCAAUAAAUUACAAAAACAAUUCA